AGAGCCCGGUCAGGUCACCUCGUUCCUGAGAUCAGAGCCCCAUCAGAAAUUCUUUCAAGUGUCCUUCUGCGUCGCCAAAGAUGACAACAGCAAAUCAAUAAGUGCUUGAAAUGAAAGGGGUUGUUGGCCAGCCCCCGAGGCUACAGAUUUUCACACCGCCAGCCUGUUUCUGAACUUCUAGCAUUCCUUUGCACUGUCUCUCAUAAGAAGAGAGACCUUUUAUUCCUAUUCUCAUGCGAAGCAUCGGGAUCAACGGCCUGAAUGAACAAUUUAGAAACAAGAUCUGGAUAGGAAAGAAAAUUUCGAGCAGCCAACAAAUCAAUAAUGUUUGAGGCUGUUAAACACAGCUAGCCAUUGGAGCCAUUUGCAUUUCCCACCAGCUGCUCACUUCAGCUGUACCGAUUCUGGGCCAGUAUAAGUGCCCAGCUCAACUCCUGAUCCCGCUGCAGCCCCGACGUGGGGGUAGCAACAGCACAGGGCCAGGCGAGAGCCCAGACAGAAACGGGACAGCUUCAGCAAGCGGCUGCUGCUUUAAAACCUCUGAACCAGGAAAGUGGGGGGACUUGCGCAAGCACAGCUGUGUAUGUCUCUCUGUACAGAGUUCUCUCGCGCAUUCUUCGGAGGCUUCAAAGCAAACCCAGUCACAACACUGGGUAUUUAUUUACCUUCGUUAUUAUAUCCAGUACCCAUAUGAAU